UACGGAGGGGGCGAGCGUUAUUCGGAAUUAUUGGGCGUAAAGGGCGCGUAGGCGGCCUGGUAAGUCAAAGGUGAAAUCCCUCGGCUCAACUGAGGAACUGCCUUUGAAACUGCCUGCUUGAGGCCGGGGAGGGGGUGGCGGAAUUCCCAGUGUAGCGGUGAAAUGCGUAGAUAUUGGGAGGAACACCAGUGGCGAAGGCGGCCACCUGGACCGGUUCUGACGCUGAGGCGCGAAAGCGUGGGGAGCAAACAGG
rnacentral:rRNA from 1 species